rnacentral:pre_miRNA from 1 species
UGAUUGUCCAAACGCAAUUCUUGUGAAUUAGCUACCAAGAACUGUGUGUGGACAUCACU